UACGUAGGGUGCGAGCGUUAAUCGGAAUUACUGGGCGUAAAGCGUGCGCAGGCGGUUUUCCCAGACAGCUGUGAAAUCCCCGGGCUCAACCUGGGAAUGGCAUUUGUGACUGGAAGGCUAGAGUGUGUCAGAGGGGGGUAGAAUUCCACGUGUAGCAGUGAAAUGCGUAGAGAUGUGGAGGAAUACCGAUGGCGAAGGCAGCCCCCUGGGAUAACACUGACGCUCAUGCACGAAAGCGUGGGGAGCAAACAGG
rnacentral:rRNA from 1 species